UAAGGUUUGAAGUUGUUUCAUAUGCGUUGGAUUGCUUGGACUUGGUUUAAAAUGUUUUGAAAGAAAACUCGAAAGUUUUGAAAACUAAUAAUUUCAAAUAUUGUGUAAAGUGUACUCUGACCUUACUAGCAUGCAUACUAAGAUGCCUUAUGCCUCUAGACAUGACGAAUAUGUUCAUCAUCUAGCUAAGCAUGAAUUGGACCUUUCAAGUAUGGGUUAAAAUAAGUUCUGAAUGAUGAACUAUACUAACUAUGAUUAAAUAAGUUGAUUAAAUGUGAGCAUGCGCGUUAUAGGUGUCUAACAUCCUUACAUGAUGGAAUGGUUAAUGUAGUUCAUUCCUUAUGCAUGAACCUACUUAGCCUUAUAAGAAAUUAUCAAAUAAAGCCUUAAAGUGUGAAAACAACUUUGAGUAAACACAAGAGGUUCUAAACAUUAACCAAUGACCUCUUAACGUGUGUAUAUAUUAUGUGUUAACAUUAAUGCAUGCUAAGAACUCAG
rnacentral:lncRNA from 1 species